rnacentral:rRNA from 1 species
ACGGAAGGCAGCAGUGGGGAAUAUUGCACAAUGGGGGAAGCCCUGAUGCAGCGACGCCGCGUGAGUGAAGAAGUAUUUCGGUAUGUAAAGCUCUAUCAGCAGGAAAGAAAAUGACGGUACCUGACUAAGAAGCCCCGGCUAACUACGUGCCAGCAGCCGCGGUAAUACGUAGGGGGCAAGCGUUAUCCGGAUUUACUGGGUGUAAAGGGAGCGUAGACGGCUUUGCAAGUCUGAAGUGAAAGCCCGGGGCUCAACCCCGGAACUGCUUUGGAAACUGUAGAGCUAGAGUGCAGGAGAGGUAAGUGGAAUUCCUAGUGUAGCGGUGAAAUGCGUAGAUAUUAGGAGGAACACCAGUGGCGAAGGCGGCUUACUGGACUGUAACUGACGUUGAGGCUCGAAGGCGUGGGGAGCAAACAGGAUUAGAUACCCUGGUA